ensembl:lncRNA
UAANNNNNNNNNNNNNNNNNNNNNNNNNNNNGCAAAUCAAGAAUAACUUUUAAUUUUGUAUUGAUAGGAGUAUUUGAAAAAAAUAAAAUAAAAUAAAAUAAAAUAAAAUAAAAUAAAAUAAAAUAAAAUAAAAUAAAAUAAAAUAAUAUGCCUUUAAAAUGACGUAGGUGAAAAAAGACAAUUUUAUUUUUGGGUGAUCUAUCCUUAUAAAUAAUUUUAAGAUGUGUGCUUGAUAUGAAUGCUGUUGGAUUAUUUUUUUAAAAGUUAGCAUAAAAUGAAUAAAACUGAUGCAUUACACACACACACACACACACACACACACACACACACAUUAUUCAAUCAUGCAUAUGUUUCUUUUUUUGUAAAUGAUGCAGAAUGUUCAUUUUUGGGUGAACUAUCCUUUUAAGCUCUGACCUCAAUCAUCAUGUCUCUUAUAAACCAUUGACUGGAAUGCUGCUUCCACAGUGAAACCUGUUGUCAACAUUAGGCCUAAUUGUUGAUUAAAUAAUGUAUCUGAGUAAAAGAUUUAAACAAUUAAAUAAAGAAGAAUUCCAGAUCCCACACUGCAUUUUCUUCAUGCUGACUUGAUAACCAGGAACGAAGCAGUGUAAACACAAUGAUGUUUUGAUUAUCUGUGGUCGGCUGGUGCUGCGUCAGCCUGCAACCUCUUAUAUUUAUGAUUCUGAAUCUUUGGUUGUUUAAUCCUGGUGGGAUGAAUCAGGCACAAUUUAUGAUGCUAUUUCUUUCUUUUUUCCUGCAGAAAAGCCGAUGCCACAGGGACCUCCUGGCGGUAUUUUUGGUAUCUUGGGAGUUGUGGUGGUGGCUGGUCUGAUUGUAGGAGUAGUGGCCACAAUAUGUAUGGUGUACAGGAGAAGACAGAAGCCCCGUACGGAAACAGACAACGAUCUGACUGACCUCCCCCCUGCUCAUAAGCCGGCCCCUCCACCACCCAAGAAAAAGAGCAGCGACAUGAAAAGCGGCCUGACGUCUGACGAGAUCCAGAAUUCUGGGAACAAAGAGCUACCGAAUCCAGCUGAUUAUGUGAGCUGCCGUCACCCGGGCAACCAGGAACAAUUUGUUGAACCUCCACCUCCUUCUGCCUAUACACCUGUUACCUUCCUGCCCCAGAUCCCUUACACCCAGCACCCUACUAAUAUUACCCCCAUGUACACCUUUCAGCCCAACGCUGCCCCUCCCGGCCCCCGACCCCCAUUUAACUACCCCAAAGAGCAGUCUGUCUAGACCCACGACUGUCUGAGUUGGAAGACACCCCAUAGCCCCAUACAGGAUAGCCAUUAUGCGUCACACCUGGAGAGAACAACACUUCCUUCCUCAUUACUCUAGUCCUGCGCUGGCCUCAUCAGGAUGUGGGCAGUCUCUCGGAACAACGAAUAAAAGUGUCAGUAGUUUGUGGACCUGAAACCUU